CCAGAGGUCCCGCCGAAUCGGCCAGCGUGCUUAUCAGCGCGUGACGUCGAACCGGGGAACCAGGUUUGUCUGGGGUGAAUCCCCUGGUCGAGCGCGCGCAGCUGCAUGCUGCCCGCAAUCGGCAAGGGGUAGGGCUAACUUCCUGGCCCGAACCCGUCAGCUAACUCGGUAGGCGGCGAGGAGGAAGGUA
rnacentral:sRNA from 2 species